rnacentral:rRNA from 1 species
GUCGUGAACUCCUCCACCCUCCACCUUUUUCGAAGGGUGUUGGGCUGGGAUUUGGGAGCAUGCGGGUCCCUGGCCGAUCCGCUCUCCUUGAAUGCAUUAGCGAAGCCCUGUGCGGCCUUGGUGUGAUAAUCAUCUACGCCUCGGUUUAGCGAACCUUACGGGAAUCGCUUACAGCCGUCUCGCAAGAGACAACGACUACCAACUUGACCUCAAAUCCGGCGGGACUACCCGCUGAACUUAAGCAUAUCAAUAAGCGGAGGAAAAGAAACUAACAAGGAUUCCCCUAGUAACUGCGGGUGAAGCGGGAUGAGCUCAAAUUUAAAAUCUGGCGUCUUCGGCGUCCGAGUUGUAAUUUAGAGAAGCGUCUUCCGUGC